CUUCCUGGAUUCCAGGAGAGUGGGAGUCCGCAGCACAGUGGGAACAGGGGGAGGUGUGACUGUUGCUUCACCACUGGAUCGAUUGUAAACGAGAAGGUAAUCAGUAAUAGUGCCUCUUUCACUUCCUAUAUCUGCUUCAAGAUUCUAGAAUUCAUUCAAGAUUCUUUUCCUCGAGUCAGAACCAGGGGAGGAGAGAAGCAAAAGAACCAAGUAGCUCAGCAUCGAGGGCGCCACCUGCUGGGAGAACCACGCAAGCCUUCAGAAAAGAACGUGCAUACACGCCCCCGAAGCGGAGAAAGGCGCACCGAAACAACUGCACACCCCGCACAUAGUCGCAAACGCGAGUCGGGAUGAAGAUGAUCUUCAGGAUCCUGCUGCUCAUCAGCUUCAUCUCAUGCGUCUCUGGAUCAUUAGUAGUGAAUGUGACCCAGACCCACUAUCAGGCAGAGCAGAACCACAGCAUCACACUGGAGUGGACCUUCACACCCAAACCUGACGUGUCCAUCACCUCAGUUUACAUCAUCUGUCAGCUGGUGACUGAUCUCAGAGUCUCAGUCCUGUUUCAUUUCCAUGAAGGUGUUGAGGUCUCAAAGUCUCAGGAUCAACAGUUUUCAGGACGAGUCCAGUUUGACAGAGACAAGCUCAGAGUGUCAGGCUUGGGCAGGUGUCGGACCCACAUGCACGGCGCAGAAACACAGAUGUGAUUAAGUGCAGGUUUAUUCGGUGAUACAGAGUCAGGCGGUCCAGGUCAUACACAGUUCGUUCCAGUAGACAAUACACAAGGGAGCAGGCAAUCUCAGGGUCAAGGUCCAGGCAGGGUUCGGUACACGAGCAGACUUGGCAACAGUACAGACAAGGAUCAGGCAAAAACUCACGGUCAGAUUAUCAGGCACAGGUCUUUCACAGGUAGCAGGAUCAACAGGGUUCAGGCAAGAAUCAAUGGUCGAGGCGGUCACGGUCAAAACACGAAUGGCAACUAUAGAAUGCUGGAAAGAGUACAUGAACUAACAAUCUGGCGACUGGUGUAGGUGAGAGGUGGAGGUUAAGUACAGGUGCUGAUUACUAAUUAGCAACAGGUGUGGGUGAUGAGAACCGGAGCGUGACAGGAAGUUAACAAAAUAAAACAGGAUGUGACAUGUAACAUGAAUCAUGACACAGAGAAGGACGACUCAGACUCCAAGUGUCCAGACUCAGGACUGAUGACUCAGGACGCUAUGACUGUACCAUCAGAACAUCAGAUGGGUGGAAUAUGGACGUAUGUCGACUCAACGUCACUGCAGCUGUUGAUCAUCACAAAGCAACACAUCGAAGAACAUCAGAUGGUUGGAACAUGGACAAAUGUCGACUCAACGUCACUACAGCUGUUGAUCAGCACAAGACUCAGACAACAGUGAGUCCAGAACCAGAGAACCGGGGGAGAACAGGCCUUUACGCUGCAUUGGUGCUGUUUGUCUGUAUGUGUGUUCUGCUGUUUCUGUUGUCCUAUCGACUAAAACUCAGGGUAUAACAAAGGUAACGUCUGCUAUGUGACCUUAACCUAAUCUUUAGAAGACAGUGACUUCACAAAGCAGACGUGGUGUCUGUCUCCUUUUACUUGAUGAUCCUGAUGAAGCUGCUUCUGUUUUCUUGCCAAGAAGUUUCAUACACACAUAGAAACAUUGUUGGUGAAUAGAAAAUAUUAAACUGUGCUUCCACAUCAGCAUUUACACCCAUAGAAAACCUGUGUCCUCAGUCUUAAGGCUGAGACGUGUCAUACUUUUACUCCAUGUCAGGUUGGAACUCUUCUGUUGAGCCAGAGUUCAAAGACAAACCUGGGUUUGGAUCCACCCUCAGUUCCUGAGACUCAAACCUUCCCUGCUGUGUUUCCAUGUUGUCUAGUGUCAGUUUGAGUUAGUUUAGGUGUCUCUGUUUCUCUGUGUGUAACAUGUACAUUAAUUUAGCACUUCAUCAAUUAUUUAUACAUAUUGUAAAUAAAAUAUUAUUUAUACUG